AAAUGAGGGUAAUCUGCCUACAAACCCUGUCACCCUAUUUUUCGCCAGUUUUGAUUCAGUUGACCUGGUGCACUAGGCGGGUCUCCCCUUUCCUCCUCCCUGUUCCAUGUGUAGGAAAACCUUCCCUGACUAGGAAGACCAUUCUUCGAUCAAGAAUACAGUAUAUGAGUAGUAGCUUUCCCCUGCUAGAACCUCCAAAUGAGUCCUCAAGAUUCAUUUGCACAUGAGCAUAGGAUAGUCGAGCUUCCAUGACUACAGACAUAUCCAAGUGAGAUACAGUAGGUAGCAGUUGGCCUU
rnacentral:snRNA from 1 species